GUCCUGGGCGAGACAACAGCAGCGCGUCUGGGAAGGUCUUCCGCUGCUUUAGUGUAUGUAGUGAAUGCAAACACAACAGCGUGCGUUCUGGGAAUUACGACGUUCUAAGAGUGAAAUAGUGAUUAUUUUCUGACUGUUCCCUCUUCGUCGAUACACUUGCUGGAAUUUUGGAUUAUUUCUCUCGGAAAUAUUUUGCGGGAUUAAUUUGUGAGAAGGUACUCAGCCAGUUGGAAGGAAGAAUUCAGCCCACACCACCUCCAUCUCGGAACCAUUCAGAAUCUUGUUCUGAUUUGGAUUUCUACUCAAUCUCCUGGUCUGGAUGUUCACUCUGUACCGGUUUGGCUCAUCGAAUCCCACCGCCUUUGUUGGAUGAUUCAGAAGCUGAGCAGUGGCAAGUUUUCUUGUCAGUCGGCAGCAUCUCUAUAAUGGGGUUGCUAGGAGGAGACCUACUACUCUCUCAGACAAUUAGAGCGGUCCCAGGAACACCACAGGAGCCAAUUAGAACAUGCCUCAAACUCCUGAGGAGCCAACUAAAGGAGGG
ensembl:lncRNA